rnacentral:rRNA from 1 species
UUAAGCGACUAAGCGUACACGGUGGAUGCCCUGGCAGUCAGAGGCGAUGAAGGACGUGCUAAUCUGCGAUAAGCGUCGGUAAGGUGAUAUGAACCGUUAUAACCGGCGAUUUCCGAAUGGGGAAACCCAGUGUGUUUCGACACACUAUCAUUAACUGAAUCCAUAGGUUAAUGAGGCGAACCGGGGGAACUGAAACAUCUAAGUACCCCGAGGAAAAGAAAUCAACCGAGAUUCCCCCAGUAGCGGCGAGCGAACGGGGAGCAGCCCAGAGCCUGAAUCAGUGUGUGUGUUAGUGGAAGCGUCUGGAAAGGCGCGCGAUACAGGGUGACAGCCCCGUACACAAAAAUGCACAUAUUGUGAGCUCGAUGAGUAGGGCGGGACACGUGGUAUCCUGUCUGAAUAUGGGGGGACCAUCCUCCAAGGCUAAAUACUCCUGACUGACCGAUAGUGAACCAGUACCGUGAGGGAAAGGCGAAAAGAACCCCGGCGAGGGGAGUGAAAAAGAACCUGAAACCGUGUACGUACAAGCAGUGGGAGCCUCUUUAUGGGGUGACUGCGUACCUUUUGUAUAAUGGGUCAGCGACUUAUAUUCUGUAGCAAGGUUAACCGAAUAGGGGAGCCGAAGGGAAACCGAGUCUUAACUGGGCGUUAAGUUGCAGGGUAUAGACCCGAAACCCGGUGAUCUAGCCAUGGGCAGGUUGAAGGUUGGGUAACACUAACUGGAGGACCGAACCGACUAAUGUUGAAAAAUUAGCGGAUGACUUGUGGCUGGGGGUGAAAGGCCAAUCAAACCGGGAGAUAGCUGGUUCUCCCCGAAAGCUAUUUAGGUAGCGCCUCGUGAAUUCAUCUCCGGGGGUAGAGCACUGUUUCGGCAAGGGGGUCAUCCCGACUUACCAACCCGAUGCAAACUGCGAAUACCGGAGAAUGUUAUCACGGGAGACACACGGCGGGUGCUAACGUCCGUCGUGAAGAGGGAAACAACCCAGACCGCCAGCUAAGGUCCCAAAGUCAUGGUUAAGUGGGAAACGAUGUGGGAAGGCCCAGACAGCCAGGAUGUUGGCUUAGAAGCAGCCAUCAUUUAAAGAAAGCGUAAUAGCUCACUGGUCGAGUCGGCCUGCGCGGAAGAUGUAACGGGGCUAAACCAUGCACCGAAGCUGCGGCAGCGACGCUUAUGCGUUGUUGGGUAGGGGAGCGUUCUGUAAGCCUGCGAAGGUGUGCUGUGAGGUAUGCUGGAGGUAUCAGAAGUGCGAAUGCUGACAUAAGUAACGAUAAAGCGGGUGAAAAGCCCGCUCGCCGGAAGACCAAGGGUUCCUGUCCAACGUUAAUCGGGGCAGGGUGAGUCGACCCCUAAGGCGAGGCCGAAAGGCGUAGUCGAUGGGAAACAGGUUAAUAUUCCUGUACUUGGUGUUACUGCGAAGGGGGGACGGAGAAGGCUAUGUUGGCCGGGCGACGGUUGUCCCGGUUUAAGCGUGUAGGCUGGUUUUCCAGGCAAAUCCGGAAAAUCAAGGCUGAGGCGUGAUGACGAGGCACUACGGUGCUGAAGCAACAAAUGCCCUGCUUCCAGGAAAAGCCUCUAAGCAUCAGGUAACAUCAAAUCGUACCCCAAACCGACACAGGUGGUCAGGUAGAGAAUACCAAGGCGCUUGAGAGAACUCGGGUGAAGGAACUAGGCAAAAUGGUGCCGUAACUUCGGGAGAAGGCACGCUGAUAUGUAGGUGAAGCGACUUGCUCGUGGAGCUGAAAUCAGUCGAAGAUACCAGCUGGCUGCAACUGUUUAUUAAAAACACAGCACUGUGCAAACACGAAAGUGGACGUAUACGGUGUGACGCCUGCCCGGUGCCGGAAGGUUAAUUGAUGGGGUUAGCGGUAACGCGAAGCUCUUGAUCGAAGCCCCGGUAAACGGCGGCCGUAACUAUAACGGUCCUAAGGUAGCGAAAUUCCUUGUCGGGUAAGUUCCGACCUGCACGAAUGGCGUAAUGAUGGCCAGGCUGUCUCCACCCGAGACUCAGUGAAAUUGAACUCGCUGUGAAGAUGCAGUGUACCCGCGGCAAGACGGAAAGACCCCGUGAACCUUUACUAUAGCUUGACACUGAACAUUGAGCCUUGAUGUGUAGGAUAGGUGGGAGGCUUUGAAGUGUGGACGCCAGUCUGCAUGGAGCCGGCCUUGAAAUACCACCCUUUAAUGUUUGAUGUUCUAACGUUGGCCCCUGAUCGGGGUUGCGGACAGUGUCUGGUGGGUAGUUUGACUGGGGCGGUCUCCUCCUAAAGAGUAACGGAGGAGCACGAAGGUUGGCUAAUCCUGGUCGGACAUCAGGAGGUUAGUGCAAUGGCAUAAGCCAGCUUGACUGCGAGCGUGACGGCGCGAGCAGGUGCGAAAGCAGGUCAUAGUGAUCCGGUGGUUCUGAAUGGAAGGGCCAUCGCUCAACGGAUAAAAGGUACUCCGGGGAUAACAGGCUGAUACCGCCCAAGAGUUCAUAUCGACGGCGGUGUUUGGCACCUCGAUGUCGGCUCAUCACAUCCUGGGGCUGAAGUAGGUCCCAAGGGUAUGGCUGUUCGCCAUUUAAAGUGGUACGCGAGCUGGGUUUAGAACGUCGUGAGACAGUUCGGUCCCUAUCUGCCGUGGGCGCUGGAGAACUGAGGGGGGCUGCUCCUAGUACGAGAGGACCGGAGUGGACGCAUCACUGGUGUUCGGGUUGUCAUGCCAAUGGCACUGCCCGGUAGCUAAAUGCGGAAGAGAUAAGUGCUGAAAGCAUCUAAGCACGAAACUUGCCCCGAGAUGAGUUCUCCCUGAGACUUAGAGUCUCCUGAAGGAACGUUGAAGACGACGACGUUGAUAGGCCGGGUGUGUAAGCGCAGCGAUGCGUUGAGCUAACCGGUACUAAUGAACCGUGAGGCUUAACCUU